UACGUAGGGUGCAAGCGUUGUCCGGAAUUAUUGGGCGUAAAGAGCUCGUAGGCGGUUUGUCGCGUCUGCUGUGAAAACUCGGGGCUCAACUCCGAGCUUGCAGUGGGUACGGGCAGACUAGAGUGCGGUAGGGGAGACUGGAAUUCCUGGUGUAGCGGUGAAAUGCGCAGAUAUCAGGAGGAACACCGGUGGCGAAAGCGGCUCACUGGACCAUUACUGACGCUGAU
rnacentral:rRNA from 1 species